UACGAAGGGUGCAAACGUUGCUCGGAAUUAUUGGGCGUAAAGCGCACGUAGGCGGCUUUGCAAGUCCCAUGUGAAAGCCCACGGCUCAACCGUGGAAGUGCAUGGGAAACUGCAGAGCUUGAGUACUUAAGAGGAUCGCGGAAUUCCCGGUGUAGAGGUGAAAUUCGUAGAUAUCGGGAGGAACACCAGUGGCGAAGGCGGCGAUCUGGGAAGAUACUGACGCCGAGGUGCGAAAGCGUGGGGAGCAAAC
rnacentral:rRNA from 1 species